AUUGAACGCUGGCGGCAGGCCUAACACAUGCAAGUCGGACGGUAGCACAGAGGAGCUUGCUCCUCGGGUGACGAGUGGCGGACGGGUGAGUAAUGUCUGGGGAUCUGCCCGAUAGAGGGGGAUAACCACUGGAAACGGUGGCUAAUACCGCAUAACGUCGCAAGACCAAAGAGGGGGACCUUCGGGCCUCUCACUAUCGGAUGAACCCAGAUGGGAUUAGCUAGUAGGCGGGGUAAUGGACCACCUAGGCGACGAUCCCUAGCUGGUCUGAGAGAAUGACCAGCCACACUGAAACUGAGACACGGUCCAGACUCCUACGGGAGGCAGCAGUGGGGAAUAUUGCACAAUGGGCGCAAGCCUGAUGCAGCCAUGCCGCGUGUAUGAAGAAGGCCUUCGGGUUGCAAAGUACUUUCAGCGGGGAGGAAGGCGAUAAGGUUAAUAACCUUGUCGAUUGACGUUACCCGCAGAAGAAGCACCGGCUAACUCCGUGCCAGCAGCCGCCGUAA
rnacentral:rRNA from 1 species